rnacentral:pre_miRNA from 1 species
AAGGGGAGCACCAGAUCCUGGGCUGUGUCCCCUGUGCCCUGGGCUCCUGGGCCUGUGCUGCUGGAAUUGCACUCCCGGCUGUGCAGCCCCCU